URGAUUUUUCUAAUUACUUUARAGCAGAUGAACAAGGAARCAAAAAAUUGGGGCCACCAACUUCUGAUGAUUGGAACAAUGUGAAUGUCUUUGUAAAGUUUUUGAAGGUAUUUUAUGAAGUCACUACAAAGAUAAGUGGUUCUCUAUAUGUGACUUCUAAUUCUUACUUUCAUGAACUUUAUGGUAUUCAAGAACUUUUAUUGACUUUGAGUUUGAAUGAAGGUUCUAUUUUAUGUUCCAUGGCUUUGGGUAUGAAGAAAAAGUUUGACAAGUAUUGGGGUUCAAUUGAGAAAAUGAAUAAGUUGAUAUUUAUUGCUAUGGUGCUUGAUCCUCGCUACAAAUUGGAUUAUGUAGGAUUUUGUUUUUCUAAUUUCUACGAGGAUGCUAUAGCUAAGGAGAUGCUUGAUAGUAUCAAGACAUGUUUGGUUCAUAUGCAUAUGAUUUCUACAAAUCACAUGACAAUACUCUUAGUCUUGAUACUAAAAGUCAUAGUACUGAACCUUCCCAAUCAAGUGCUAUCAUAGAUAUGGAAAUUGGUGGAAAUGUUCAAGCGAGUAGUUUUGUAAUAUCAAGAUACAAGAAAAGAAGAGAAGAGAAGAGUUCUUUAGAAUUGAAGAAUGAUGUGGAUCGAUAUUUAACUGACCCUUGUGAGGAACUUAAUGACAGUUUUGAUGUUUUGGCUUGGUGGAAAAAUCAUGGCUAUAAAUAUCGAGUUCUAUAAAAAAUAGCCCAAGAUGUUUUGGCAGUUCCAGUAUCUACGGUUGCUUCUGAAUCAGCAUUCAGUACAGGGGGAGGAUUCUUGAUUCUUUUAGAAGUUCUUUAUCUCCUAAAACAAUAGAGGCUUUGAUAUGCACGCAAAAUUGGAUUUGUGGCAAAUCAGUGUUAUUAGAUCUUCCUCCACAACUCGAAGAAUUGGAGACUUGUGAUAAAAUUGAGACAGAGAGUUCACACUCCUCCACCAACACCAUGCAUAAAUAAAUCUCAUUUGAUCCCUAUGAUUUCGAUGGACUAGCAUAUGGAGUCAACGAUCAAAAUCUUUUAGCUUGUUUCUCGUUGUGUCAACUAUGGCUUGUAAUAAAGAUUUAAGAAUUUAAUUUUUCUGUUUGUUUGAAUUUGAACUUUAGAUAAACUUUGAAGUUUGGAUGACUACUAUAAUG